rnacentral:rRNA from 1 species
GAAGUUGGAAUUGCUAGUAAUCGCAGAUCAGAAUGCUGCGGUGAAUACGUUCCCGGGCCUUGUACACACCGCCCGUCCACACCAUGGGAGCCGGUAAUACCCGAAGUCAGUAGUCUAACCGCAAGGGGGACGCUGCCGAAGGUAGGAUUGGCGACUGGGGUGAAGUCGUAACAAGGUAAC